CGCUCAACUGAUUAGAUCCAGAGCAGCAAUUUUGGUUGAAAUACCGGAACUAUGCAUGACACUUCCUUUGUGCUUAUGAAUCUGUCCUUCAGAUAUCACCCCAGACGUAGAUGGGCCUUUCCCCACUCGCAUGUCUAUGAUGCAAACUGCAUGCUCAUUUAUGGUCAGUUUUUGUACAUGAAAUAAUCUUGACUGUGAGAAUAAAGAGAAAACUGUGGUUCAGAUAUGUCGCAAGAAAGAAGAUGGCACAGUUAUUUUUAUUCUCUUCUUAUGCGGAGGAGCAAUGAAGUCCAGGUAUUCUUUUCUGAGUACAGACUAUACUGUGGGGCACCU